GUGCAAAAGUAAUUGUGGUUUUUGUCAUUGAAAGUAAUGGCAAAAACCACAAUUAGUUCCGCACC
rnacentral:miRNA from 1 species